AUUGAACGCUGGCGGCAGGCCCAACACAUGCAAGUCGAACGGUAGCACAGAGAGCUUGCUCUUGGGUGACGAGUGGCGGACGGGUGAGUAAUGUCUGGGAAACUGCCCGAUGGAGGGGGAUAACUACUGGAAACGGUAGCUAAUACCGCAUAACGUCGCAAGACCAAAGUGGGGGACCUUCGGGCCUCACACCAUCGGAUGUGCCCAGACGGGAUUAGCUAGUAGGUGGGGUAAUGGCUCACCUAGGCGACGAUCCCUAGCUGGUCUGAGAGGAGGACCAGCCACACUGGAACUGAGACACGGUCCAGACUCCUACGGGAGGCAGCAGUGGGGAAUAUUGCACAAUGGGCGCAAGCCUGAUGCAGCCAUGCCGCGUGUAUGAAGAAGGCCUUCGGGUUGUAAAGUACUUUCAGCGAGGAGGAAGGCGGUGAGGUUAAUAACCUCAUCGAUUGACGUUACUCGCAGAAGAAGCACCGGCUAACUCCGUGCCAGCCGCCGCGGUAA
rnacentral:rRNA from 1 species